CUGUGCUCCUGGGUUACAAUCCUCAAGCUUGGCCCAAAUAAACUCUCUACUUAUAUUAGUUUUACCUAGUUUCUUCCUUUCAGAUUGACAUACAUGGCAUAAGUCGGCAGGACUCGGAGUGAACCUUCCCCUUUGCAUGGCCCCCACCCCAACCACCUGGUGUUUCUCUGAAAGCAAUGCUUGGUACCAGGAUGAACUCUUCAUCUUCACAAGUCUCAAUGGGUGUUUUGGCUUUACCAUGGUGUGAAGGCGAAAACAAAUAAAUGACUGUACUUCAAGUAGAUAGUCUAAAGAAGAACACUGAAAUUCAGCAAGGAAGUGACAAAAACCCUGUGAAGCACAGAAACUCAGGAUGGCAGCCCCACAGUUGUCACAGGCCCUGAGCCCGGGAUAGGAAGCUGCCUUUAGUCCACACAGCUGCUCUGCUCCAGAUAAAAAAUUCACACUGGCAACCCCCACUCCCCAGGACCCAAGGUGUACUAGCACAGCACCUUUUUGGGAAUAGUGCCACUUCUAGACUUCAUCCUGACCUGGGACCAACAGCCCCUGCAUUGCCACAUCCAUGGGGCUCCACUGUCAUUUCACUAUGCCUAUAUACUUGUAAUGCUAUGACUUCAGCUAGACCCAUGGGACAGCCAUGAUCCUGGCACCAGGUACCACACUGUGUACUAUACUCCCGGUGGUCUAGCACAGAAAGCAGGCUAGGGGAGCCAACAUACAUGCCUCCCAGGGUGUGAGGAAUGGUGGGCCAGCACCCACUGCCACCAGCAACCCCAUUUCUUUGAUCAACAGUGCCACCAUAGGCUGCAUACACCUCCCAGAUCUGAGGCCUGGCCCACCUGCCACCUUCUGCCACUGGCAACCAUGGCCCUGUGACCAGUGGAGCCACUGGACACUACAUGUACCUACUCAGGGCCUGAGAACCGGCCCACUCAGUUGGCUUCACAGUGAGAAAAGCCACACCACUCCUUCCAUAAACCACUAGGCUACUGAGUCAUUUGCAGACAUCACUGACGCUGUGAUAUGGUUUGGUUCUGUGUCACUACCCAAAUCUCAUCUAGAAAUGUAAUCCCCACCCAUUGGUAGAUGAUUGUACCAUGGGGGCAGUUCCCUCAUGCUGUUCUCAUGAUAGUGAGUGAGUUCUCACGAGAUCUGAUGGUUAAAAAGUGGCACUUCCCCCUUCUCUCUCUCUGUUUAUUGCCACCAUAUGAAGAAAGUCCCUGCUUCCACUUCUGCCAUGAUUGUAAGUUUCCUGAGACCUCCCCAGCCAUGUGGAACAUGUGAGUUCAUUAAACCUUUUUUCUUCAUUAAUUAUCCAGUCUUAGGUAGUUCUUUUUAGCAGUAUGAAAACAGACUAAUACAGGAAAUUGGUACCAGGAUACUGGGGUACUGCUAUAAAGAUAACCUGACAAUGUGGGAG
rnacentral:lncRNA from 10 species